rnacentral:rRNA from 1 species
GAUGAACACUGGCGGCGUGCCUAAUACAUGCAAGUCGAGCGAACGGACGAGAAGCUUGCUUCUCUGAUGUUAGCGGCGGACGGGUGAGUAACACGUGGAUAACCUACCUAUAAGACUGGGAUAACUUCGGGAAACCGUAGCUAAUACCGGAUAAUAUUUUGAACCGCAUGGUUCAAAAGUGAAAGACGGUCUUGCUGUCACUUAUAGAUGGAUCCGCGCUGCAUUAGCUAGUUGGUAAGGUAACGGCUUACCAAGGCAACGAUGCAUAGCCGACCUGAGAGGGUGAUCGGCCACACUGGAACUGAGACACGGUCCAGACUCCUACGGGAGGCAGCAGUAGGGAAUCUUCCGCAAUGGGCGAAAGCCUGACGGAGCAACGCCGCGUGAGUGAUGAAGGUCUUCGGAUCGUAAAACUCUGUUAUUAGGGAAGAACAGAUGUGUAAGUAACUGUGCACAUCUUGACGGUACCUAAUCAGAAAGCCACGGCUAACUACGUG